CCAAGGAGACUAGGUCAUCACCUGGACUUCUCUUAUCUGUCUCAUAUCAUAACAUGUCCCACUGUGCCAAGGAGACUAGGUCAUCACCUGGACUUCUCUUAUCUCUGAUCUGACAGGCUGUCUGUCUAACUCAUAGUACCAGGAGCGACCUGGUAUGGCUAUCUCAUGCCAUAUCUCAUAUGAUCUCAUAGUAUCUCUGCUUAUAUCAAGGGCUAAGGAUCAUCCAACAUUCAUC
rnacentral:lncRNA from 1 species